AUUUUCAAGAAAUUUCAUUGACAAUCUAAUUACUCAUUAAACAUGCUUUUGGCUACUUGGAAAAUCCAUCAUUGAAUAAUUUCUUCUCAUGACUGUUUUCUUCAAGUUCCUUUCAUAAUUAAUUAUUCCAGGAAAGAAGUUUCCUCAUUCCACAAUACCCACCUGUUUCUUUUUUGGUGUUCUGUUAUGCGUGGCCUGUGGUUCUUGUGAUCAGGGAGACCCUUGUUCAGUAGAAUGUCUCUGCUGGGGAUUUGGCAGCUUGUGUGACCUCUGGUGUUUAGGGUACUGGGGUUUUAGGAACUGGCAUAACCUGGGAUUCUGGAUAAGUCAUGGUCUCUGGUAGAGCAAAGAGCUUCUGCCAGAAUUGUGGUAUGGGACAUGGAUAUGAGUGAAGGGGCCACUGUUGGGGAAAGUUCCACAGGCUCUGAGGAAAUGUUGGUGGUCUGCCUCAGGGCCUGACCUGGUAGAGCAGGGUGAUUCUGCUGGAGCUAUAGGUCAGGAUAUGGAGACCUGGAAAGCAUGCACUUGUACCUGCUGUGCUAUGUUGCUGGCUCAUAUGUACUUUGAUUUUAAAAGUUUAUUUAUUUUUUACCAAUAGCCUUAAACAAUGAACUUGAAUAGGUAGACAUGAUAAAUUGUACAUGUAAUCAUUAGAUAACUUCAUCCCAAAUUUACUAUGCAUUAGGAGAAAAUCUAAAUUUUUUUCGAAGAAAAUAAUCAGAACUUUGGAUGGCAUCCCAAGAAAUAUCUUUUUACCAUUAAUAUGAUUUCCUUCAUUUUCCCUAUAUAUUUUAUGAAAAAGUAUUUCAAUAAAAAUUCACUCACUUAUUAAACA
rnacentral:lncRNA from 1 species